GGGUGAGUAACGCGUGGGCGAACCUGCCCUCGUACUGGGGGAGUAACACCUGGAAACAAGGUGCUAAUACCGCAUAAGCGCGCUGUGCCGCAUGGCGCGGCGCGGAAAACCCCGGUACGGUACAGGAUGGGCCCGCGUCUGAUUAGCUGGUUGGCAGGGUAACGGGCCUACCAAGGCGACGAUCAGUAGCCGGCCUGAGAGGGUGGACGGCCACACUGGGACUGAGACACAGCCCAG
rnacentral:rRNA from 1 species